rnacentral:tmRNA from 1 species
GGGGGCGAACUGGAUUCGACCGGAUAGCAAGAAAUGCCGGUGGCGUGCCGUGGUUGGUCAGUUGGCCACGUUAAAAGCUGACCACAUUUUAUGUGCUGAGGAUAACCUCGUACUGGCUGCCUAAAUAAAGGUAGCCCUGGCCGAUGGACUUCGCCGGAGAGUCCUGAAGGCUGGUCACCAAUUCCGGAUCGUUCACGGUCACUGUGGGCACGCCGUGAAUUAAAUUAGUUCCCGCAUCGCCAACCUGGAACCCUGUCGAUGGGGGUCCAGCGUGGGUUAAAUUAAAUAAUCGACUAUGCACGUAGAAGCUGUCGUGGAAAUAUCUCGGGACGCGGGUUCGAUUCCCGCCGCCUCCACUU